rnacentral:miRNA from 1 species
CCAUCGGGAAUAUCGUGUCCGCCC